GUUUGAUCCUGGCCCAGAUGGAACGCUAGCGGUGCGUUUAAUACAUGCAAGUCGACUGGGCAAAAGUGCUCAGGGCGUCCGGGUGAGUACAAAGCAGAAAAACUACCCCUAAGAGUGGACCAAGGGAGAGUCUAACUCCUCGAAUGUCCAGGUAGGGUGCGUUUAAUACACGCAAAAAGGAGAGAAUUCUCUCGCUUAGGGAGGGGUCUGCUUCGGAUUAGGUCGUAGGUGGUUUGUGCCCAUCCUAGCCGAUGAUCCGUAGCUGGUAUGAGAGUACGAUCAGCCACACUGGAACUGAAAAGGGUUCAGACAAUAGAUAUUGGCAGCAGUAAAGAAUCUUGCACAAUGGGGGAAACCCUGAUGCAGCGACGCCGCGUAGAGGAGGUUGACAGCGUACUGUUGUAAACUCUGGCCUGUGGUUCUAUGAUGAAGAACCAUAAGGAAAGCCCCGGCAAACUCCGUGCCAGCAGCCGCGGUAAGACGGAGGGGGCAAGUGUUCAUCGGAAUGACUGGGCGUGAAGGGUGUCUAGGCGGAAAAACACGCAUGCAUUGAAAGCCCUGCAGAAUGUGGAGGAACUGGUGCAUGGACGGUUUUUCAUGAGUUAUACAGAGGAAAACGGAAGGCGAAAGGAAGCGGUGCAAUGCAGUGAUCUUUCGUCGAAGGCCAGUUUGCGAAGGCUGUUUUCUGGGUAUACACUGACGCUGAAGCACGAAAGCGUGGGGAGCAAGAAGGAUUAGAGACCCUUUUAGUCCACGCCGAUAACGUUGUGUUCUAUCCGAGGGAAAAGAAUCUUUCUCGGGGAUUAAGGUUUACGCCAAAGAACACCGCCUGGGGAGUACGGUGGCAGCACUGAAACUCAAAGGAAUUGACGGGGGUCCACACAAGCAGUGGAGCAUGGGGCUUAAUGCGAUGAUACGCGCAAAACCUUACCAAUCCUUCUAUCUUACAUUUGUAAUGAGGCGUACUGCAUGGCUGUCGUCAGCUCGUGACUUGUGUCCUAUGAUUCAUUUCAAAAACGAGCGCAACCCGCAUUUAUACAUUGGGUAUAAAGACUGCCAUUGAGAAAAUGGAGGAAGGCGCGGAUGACGUCAAGUCCUUAUGGUCGUUAUGGAUUGGGCUGCACCUGUGCUACAAUGAAGGUUUCAAUGAAUGACCGAAAGGGAGACCUGGAGGAAACUUUCAAAGACCUUCUCAGUUCGGAUCAAAGGCUGCAACUCGCCUUUGUGAAGUCGGAAUUGCGAGUAAUCGCGGAUCAGCAUGCCGCGGUGAACACGUACCUGGACCUUGUACACACCGCCCGUCACACUCUGGGAGUUCUUCUCAGGUGAAGACCAGAAUGACCUU
rnacentral:rRNA from 1 species